UGAAGAAGCCGAUGAUGACUCGAGCCAAAAUGUCUGAACCUGUCUGAAGCAUCGGUGACGCAUUCUUUAUGGCUCUGAGGCUUCUCUGAGG